rnacentral:rRNA from 1 species
UACGUAGGGGGCGAGCGUUAUCCGGAAUUAUUGGGCGUAAAGAGUGCGUAGGUGGGUGCUUAAGCGCAGGGUUUAAGGCUAUGGCUUAACCAUAGUUCGCCCUGCGAACUGAGUAUCUUGAGUGCAGGAGAGGAAAGCGGAAUUCCUAGUGUAGCGGUGAAAUGCGUAGAUAUUAGGAGGAACACCAGUGGCGAAGGCGGCUUUCUGGACUGAAACUGACACUGAGGCACGAAAGCGUGGGGAGCAAACA